AUUGAACGCUGGCGGCAGGCCUAACACAUGCAAGUCGAACGAGUGGCGGACGGGUGAGUAAUGUCUGGGAAACUGCCUGAUGGAGGGGGAUAACUACUGGAAACGGUAGCUCAUACCGCAUACCAUCAGAUGUGCCCAGAUGGGAUUAGCUUGUUGGUGGGGUAACGGAUCAACAAGGCGACGCUCCAUAGCUGGUCUGAGAGGAUGACCAGCCACACGGGAACUGAGACACGGUCCAGACGCCUCCGGGAGGCAGCAGUGGGGCAUAUUGCACAAUGGGCGCAAGCCUGAUGCAGCCAUGCCGCGUGUAUGAAGAAGGCCUUCGGGUUGUAAAGUACUUUCAGCGGGGAGGCGUUACCCGCAGAAGAAGCACCGGCUAACUCCGUGCCAGCAGCCGCGGUAAUUC
rnacentral:rRNA from 1 species